UGAUAUUCCCGGGGAUCUUGUCACUCUAUAAUCUCCCACCCGCCGCUUCGGCCUCUCAGAAAAACUGAUGUCCCGUUACUCCGGACCUUAACGGGUACUCUGUCAGAUAAACGACGGAACCUACGAGAUGUCUGCGGUUGCACCUACUACUCGUUCCAUCCAGACUUCCCAUCACGUCGUUCAGUAGACAUACCCGUAAUUUGAAAUUCCACCUGCAUCCUGGGCCAACACCGUCCCGGUAUUGAAAGCGUGAUGGAAGCCGUCGGCGGUACAGAGCCUCUUGCAGAUAUUCAGUUGGGCAGAUAUUCAGUCAAGCAGCCCCUGCGCUCGGCUUCUGCUGACUGGCGCACUGUCAGACCUACCUGAGACCUCCGAUCACAUGUACCAGGUGCGAGCUGCCCCACGAGCCUUCACGCCUAUACACUGCGUCGGUCAACGGGGAGCCACCUACCAAGUGCCAGUCCGUCUCCAGCCUUUUGCAACCUGGCUCACCCGAACAUCUGCUCCUGCUGUCCGGCAUCCUGCUGGACCUGCCUAGGCCUCCUCUGCCCCUGCACUCUUCUGUCGUCCUCAUUCUUUCUUCUUUCCUUUUCUCUUGCUCUCCCUUCUCUCCCUCAAUUUCCCUCUUCAUACUUUUCUUCUGCUCUGUGGCUUAAUAAAACAUUGGUCGGAA